AAGCAGCAGAGGUGUUUCUGCCCAUUGUCCCACCAGACUGGCCCAUGAGGGCUCCUGCUGCCUGGCAGGAGACAGAAGUGAAGGUGUCAGGAAGCCCCCUCAGACCCUGAUGAAACUGAACAUCAAUUUAGCUGCUCUGUGAAAGCAGAAGGAGGUUAUGAGCUCCCUCAGGCUCUCCUCCUGCCAGAUGCUUGAGUCUCAUCACCAUCUCUGGGGCUGCUCCAGGACCUGCUCCGGUGUGCCCAUGAGCCUUUGUACUGAGGAGCCCAAAACUGGACACAGCAUCCCCAAAGGGUCUGACCAGUGAUGAAUAGAGGGUUCAGAAGGUUUGAACAAAGCUUCUAAACCAGCACCCACAAUAAUACUUCAAGUGAGAUGUUAAAACAAAGAAGAAAGCAGAAAAAUAUUAAUAAAUGUUACAUUCUCUUUGGAUAACAAGAGAGGCCACAAAGAGAACACAUACUCCAAAUCACUAGG